UAACGGCGUCGAGCGGCGGACGGGUGAGUAAUGCCUAGGAAAUUGCCUUGAUGUGGGGGAUAACCAUUGGAAACGAUGGCUAAUACCGCAUAAUGCCUACGGGCCAAAGAGGGGGACCUUCGGGCCUCUCGCGUCAAGAUAUGCCUAGGUGGGAUUAGCUAGUUGGUGAGGUAAUGGCUCACCAAGGCGACGAUCCCUAGCUGGUCUGAGAGGAUGAUCAGCCACACUGGAACUGAGACACGGUCCAGACUCCUACGGGAGGCAGCAGUGGGGAAUAUUGCACAAUGGGCGAAAGCCUGAUGCAGCCAUGCCGCGUGUAUGAAGAAGGCCUUCGGGUUGUAAAGUACUUUCAGUUGUGAGGAAGGGGGUGUCGUUAAUAGCGGCAUCUCUUGACGUUAGCAACAGAAGAAGCACCGGCUAACUCCGUGCCAGCAGCCGCGGUAAUACGGAGGGUGCGAGCGUUAAUCGGAAUUACUGGGCGUAAAGCGCAUGCAGGUGGUUCAUUAAGUCAGAUGUGAAAGCCCGGGGCUCAACCUCGGAACUGCAUUUGAAACUGGUGAACUAGAGUACUGUAGAGGGGGGUAGAAUUUCAGGUGUAGCGGUGAAAUGCGUAGAGAUCUGAAGAAUACCAGUGGCGAAGGCGGCCCCCUGGACAGAUA
rnacentral:rRNA from 1 species